rnacentral:lncRNA from 1 species
ACUCUACGUAAAAAUGGCUUCCUCCAAAGUGUCAUUGAUGUCAUCUGUGAUCAUCCAGAUUUUGGAAGAUAUAUGGCUUUUACAAAAUUAAGCCGGGAAAACCAUCAGCCUAAACUCUUGACAUAAAGGUGAUAGAAUUUGGACUGUGCAGUCUGAGGAAAUCCCACAAAGAUAUGAGGCCCCUACGUUAUAACAAGUCAGUCUAUCCGCUGCAUCAAUAGUCUUCUGUCUGAUGAGAAUCUUUUAAACGACCACAAGUUGCGUUUUCUGCUAGAAGUCCAAGAGAAACCUCACUGACAAAUGGCCAAACAAUGAUUUUCACCGAGAUCAUCUUGAAUAAAGGCGAUGCUUACAACAAAGAAAACGGAGUGUUUACUGUUCCUUAUACUGAAUCUUUUAAACGACCAGAAGUUGCGUUUUCUGCAAGAAAUCCAAGAGAAACCUCACUGACAGAUGGCCAAACAAUGGUUUUCACCGAGAUCAUCUUGAAUAAAGGCGAUGGUUACAACAAAGAAGACGGAGUGUUUACAGUUCCUUAUACUGGUAUCUACAUGUUUACUGUGCAGUGGUGUCUCUAUGGUAGUAAAGCUUUUUAUUUUGACUUCGUAGCUAAUGAAGUUCCCUUCCAGAUGACGUAUGUUUAUCGAAAAAAUAGUGGUUAUUGUUACAGUUUCGAUGCACUUACCGCUGUUAAUAAGCACGACAGUGUGAAGAUAAAGAUUAGGUCUCCAUAUUCUGGAUCAGUUUUAAUCAAGAGUCCAACAAACCAUUGGAAUACUUUUUCGGGUGUUCUUAUUUAACAGUCUUGAGGUGUUUGUAAGAAUAGCUUGGAAAACAUGUGUAAAGCAACCGUGGACUAUAUAUUUGUGCACGAAAAUAACGUUUGUUAUAUAAACUCUCAUUUGCGUAGUCAUUACAGCGUAUGCGUCGAAAAACUUUAAAGAAGUUUUAUUCAGCUUAGUCACACUACAUUUUAUAUAAGUUACAACUUUUAAGAAAUCUUUUUAAAAAUCGGUUUUAUUGUUAACAUAAAUUAUGUGAUUAAUGCUGUAAAAAGAAUUGCCAAUGCUUUAUUUUAAAAGUAUGCUAUUAUUCUUUAUAUGUCCAUAUUUUUGUUUUAAAGCAUUCAGUCCUAUCAUUUCUAAAAUAAUUUUUUUAAAGUAUGUUCUGUUUAGCAAACUAUAUGAAUAAAAUAUUCAUGAGCAUAAUAUAUCUCCUUUUUUGCUGCAUUUUCGCAGUUCAUGUUCCGGUAACCAAAAGAAAAUCACAAGAUAAAGGAAACAAGAAAUAUCUUUAAAAAUGAUGGUCGG